rnacentral:rRNA from 1 species
ACGGGAGGCAGCAGUGGGGAAUAUUGCACAAUGGGCGCAAGCCUGAUGCAGCGAUGCCGCGUGAGGGAAGAAGGUUUUCGGAUUGUAAACCUCUGUCAACAGGGACGAAAAUGACGGUACCUGUGAAGGAAGCUCCGGCUAACUACGUGCCAGCAGCCGCGGUAAUACGUAGGGAGCAAGCGUUAUCCGGAAUUACUGGGUGUAAAGGGAGUGUAGGCGGGACUGUAAGUCAGAUGUGAAAUAUGCCGGCUCAACUGGCAGACUGCAUUUGAAACUGUAGGGCUAGAGUGUCGGAGAGGUAAGCGGAAUUCCUAGUGUAGCGGUGAAAUGCGUAGAUAUUAGGAGGAACACCAGUGGCGAAGGCGGCUUACUGGACGAUAACUGACGUUGAGGCUCGAAAGCGUGGGGAGCAAACAGGAUUAGAUACCCUGGUA